rnacentral:lncRNA from 1 species
ACGGCUUCGUGGUGUGGACCGUGCCGGUUGAUCGCCCCAAUCUUGGCGGAGUUGGCUAAGAAGACCCCAGAAGUGACGUUCCUAAAGGUGGACGUGGAUGAACUGAGGACUGUUUCCGAGGAGUGGGGUGUGGAGGCAAUGCCUACCUUCCUCUUCCUCAAGGAAGGCAAGAUAGUGGACAAGGUUGUGGGUGCCAAGAAAGACGAGUUACAGAUCAAAGUUGCCAAGCAUGUCGCCGCUGCCGCCGCUGCCUCCGCCACCUCUGCCUCUGCCACCGCUGCUACAGCUACUGCUACUGCAUCUGCUUAACUUCUAUCAUUCUCUGUGGAGACUAUGAAACUCCUACUGUUUUACUAGUUGUUUAUAACUUUUAUGGAUUUCUAAAUUUUCUAUGAAGACAUCUGAAUUGAAUGCUUUAUGUAUAUCGCUACUUGUU